rnacentral:rRNA from 1 species
AUUGAACGCUGGCGGCAUGCCUUACACAUGCAAGUCGAACGGCAGCACGGACUUCGGUCUGGUGGCGAGUGGCGAACGGGUGAGUAAUAUAUCGGAACAUACCUUGUAGUGGGGGAUAACUAUCCGAAAGGAUAGCUAAUACCGCAUACGCUCUAAGGAGGAAAGUGGGGGAUCGCAAGACCUCAUGCUAUAAGAGUGGCCGAUAUCUGAUUAGCUAGUUGGUGAGGUAAAGGCUCACCAAGGCGACGAUCAGUAGCUGGUCUGAGAGGACGACCAGCCACACUGGAACUGAGACACGGUCCAGACUCCUACGGGAGGCAGCAGUGGGGAAUUUUGGACAAUGGGGCAACCCUGAUCCAGCAAUGCCGCGUGAGUGAAGAAGGCCUUCGGGUUGUAAAGCUCUUUUGUCAGGGAAGAAACGGUUGUGGCUAAUAUCCAUGGCUAAUGACGGUACCUGAAGAAUAAGCACCGGCUAACUACGUGCCAGCCGCCGCCGUAAUAC